CACUCCAUAAUGCAGUGUCACCGUCUUGAUCAAGCAAAGCCUUAUAAUUCAUGCUGAUGAUACACAAACUUGCACUAGCUGUAUCCUGAGACCAUUUUGGAAUUUAGAUUUUAUAUAGGCCUAGUGCAAGAAACACACAGACAAAUACGGGUCAUCUUGUGUAACUACAGUCUGUGACAAGUGCAAGUUUGCUGGAGAGGCUCCUCUCACAAAUGUGUGCUGUGUCGCCAUUCCAUACUUCCGUGCUACUGGAUAUUUCUUUUACGCAUCGCACAGGCAUAGAGAAGGCGCCCCCAGUAGCUCAGCAGCAGCACAAGCACCACGGUCACACACCACAUGCACAAAUAGCAAAGAUUGGCUGUUGUGGGGAUGAAAAAGACAGCUUACAGAACAAACACUCGCAAACACCAAUACUCCAGGGUGCAAG
rnacentral:lncRNA from 1 species